rnacentral:lncRNA from 1 species
GGGAUGAAAAUAUCUGCAUAUUGAUUUGCCUAGACAUCCAGGCAUGUCCACGGUCCACAACACCACAUGACUGACCUGAGGUCCUAGCUACACCUUGUUACCUAAGGCAUGCCCCCAACACUGUACAUCACCAGGGGCGAAGCUAUAUAGUUGGCAAUGGGUGCGGCCGCACCCACGAAAAUAUGAAAAAACAGUGAUUAUGAUCAAAUUUUUACCAUAUAUGCGCCCCUACAAUAAAAUCAUAUGCACCCACAGGCAUAGCGCACCCCCCCCCUCAAAUUUACUCUAGCUCCGCCACUGUACACCACAGGGCCUCCAAAACCAUGUUUAAAUGUUUAAUAGUCACUGAGGACAAUGCUGAUGAAAGAAAAUGACAUUUUGCAAUGAAGGCAGAAAGUGCACAGCAAAACAAGGUCGACAGAUGCCAGUAUACCAAACACUAACACAAAUGAUUAUGAGAGUGAGAAAUUAAGCAAGUAGCGCUUCAAAUGGUCCAUGGCUUGCCUCAUGUAUUCAAGGGGCAAUGCAUGAUAAUGAUUGUUAGUUACCUUAUGCAACAAACAAAAUUAAGUUGAUUUAAAUGCAUGUUUAUUUCAAUCAAAAACUGAAUUCUCAAGCAAAGAUAAUGUUUCACCU